rnacentral:rRNA from 1 species
GACGAACGCUGGCGGCGUGCCUAAUACAUGCAAGUUGAGCGAUGAAGAUUGGUGCUUGCACCAAUUUGAAGAGCAGCGAACGGGUGAGUAAAGCGUGGGGAAUCUGCCUUUGAGCGGGGGACAACAUUUGGAAACGAAUGCUAAUACCGCAUAACAACUUUAAACAUAAGUUUUAAGUUUGAAAGAUGCAAUUGCAUCACUCAAAGAUGAUCCCGCGUUGUAUUAGCUAGUUGGUGAGGUAAAGGCUCACCAAGGCGAUGAUACAUAGCCGACCUGAGAGGGUGAUCGGCCACAUUGGGACUGAGACACGGCCCAAACUCCUACGGGAGGCAGCAGUAGGGAAUCUUCGGCAAUGGACGAAAGUCUGACCGAGCAACGCCGCGUGAGUGAAGAAGGUUGUCGGAUCGUAAAACUCUGUUGGUAGAGAAGAACGUUGGUGAGAGUGGAAAGCUCAUCAAGUGACGGUAACUACCCAGAAAGGGACGGCUAACUACGUG